UGGCCGAGUAUCGUAUUACGAGACGUUUGUCAUCAUCAGAGUAGUCAUUGUUCCUUAGAACUAAGGGUGCUACCGUGCACUGGCAAAUUUCGGAAAUGCCGCGGGCCGCCGAACUAAAUUCUUUACUCACGUCUUUUUGGCUUCCUCUUUGAUGAGGAGAAACAUUAUCUUCCAUUAGAUGGAAACUACACGUAACCUGUCCUUAAUUAGAUUACGCGUAAAAAUAAAAUUAUUCAAUUUUAAUGAUGGCAUUAGACGUACUAUUUCAGCGCGAGCAUUUUCACAUUAUACCAUUAGGUAUAUCGCGUUUCUAACAUGUGCAUAUGUAUAUCAUUGUAAUUAUAUAUCCGUGCAAAAAUUUCGAAAAUAACAAAAUUGAAUUUUCUUUCGUCUACCUGUACGAGUAACACGAUCCACGGCUUUCCCGCUAUCAAUCGGCCAUCAUUACGCGUAAUCAAGCGAAUAACCGGGUGAGGUAUUGGACUCUUUUCGGAACUUUACUCCAUAACGCCUCGGAAGGGGCGAUUCAGUACAACUCGUCACGUUUGGCCGCAGAGCCGCGGGAUGCAGAAAAGAAUUCGCACGGUCGUUAAACCGUCGAGCCUCUUACUCGUCUAUAAGCUCCAUAUUUUCCUGGCAAUAAAUUUCUCAAGAAGGGAGAAGGGGUGCUAUUUAAACGUGAGUUGCACGAGGGGUGGUUGCGCGUUACAACGACGGCAUCACAGCGAUUCAAAAUCAUAGAUAUAUACAUAUAAGAAUCUGAUAUAUUUACAGUAGUACUAGGAGAAAAUACAUGAUCACGAUUAUGACUUCUUGUAAGAGUAUUUCAAAUUAUUUUGAUAACAAUCAAUGAAUUAAUAACAACGAAUAAAUAUAACUCAUUAAAUCAA